UUUCGUGUUCCUUGAAAACACAGAGGGAUUCCAUUCGGCCGUGUCAUAUGUGCAUGUAGGAGAUUUCUCUCGCCUAACCCUGAUACUCAACCCUUGCCUUAAGGCUUGGAAUCAGCUUAGAAUAAAGUAUUGUAAUUUCUUCACCCACACUUUUUUGUAUAAUACAUAAUCACGAGAUUCCUUUGUUCUGUAACAUUCUUUUUGGUCAAUAAAACAUUCUUUUCUUCCAACUUUUUAUCUUAUACAUAUUGGCUGUUGAGUUGUAGAUUGUAUCUUAUAUCUGGCUACUGGUUAAUGGGAAUUUCUGAUUUAACAGAUUGUAUCAUAUAUUUUUAUUGUAUUUUUUAGUCAACAUAAAUGGGCAGUUGCAGUUUUUAGAAGGAAAACUGGAAAACUGUUUGGAGUUGGUUCAAUAUCAUGAUGGGAUUGAAUGUGGGGGGUUUAGGAGUGUUGAACCUUGUCCGAAGUCACGAGACACGUAAGGCCACUGUACUCUGUUGUUAUUUCCAUUAUUUUAUCUGUAACUAUUUUCCUUCGGCGGAAAUUAAAAAGUUGAGGCUGAUACGGUGGGACCCGGAAACUCGAAACCAUACAACUUUUCGUGUCAUAUCUAUUAUUUUGCAUGCAGUAGUAAUUUAUUUCAUUCACAAAGAGAAAGUGACAUUAAGAAGAGUGGGUCCACGAUGGAAACUAGAAAAUUUUUUAAUUAAAUUAUAAUUUUUAUGAUAGAAAAAAUGUAAUUUUAUUAUUUUAAUAGAUUAUAUUUUUAUUAUUUUAAAAAAAUAAUUUAAAAUUUUAUAGUUUAGGGUUUCAAUGACAUACUUAACGGCUACUUCUACUAUUCCCUUCAUUAUCUUCACGUGUUUUUUACAGGUUAUAUGUUUUACUUUUUGGUGGGAACGACCUUCUUCAUUCCGUACAAGGUAAAGCUCCUUAAACGGUGCCGUCCAGUCAAAGCUAAUAGUACAUUUUAUGUUUAUAUAUUUAAACAUAACUCGCAUUCAGCAAAGAUGGAAUAGUUUGGCUAAAAGAAAGAACUUUUAACAUAUAAUGCAAUAAAAAAUAGAACAAUAUAAUGAUCACAAAUGACAUAGUUGGAGUUUGGGUGCGAAAUAAUUUUUUUUUUUUUAAAAAAGGAAAGAAGGAAGGAAAGUCUCAAAUGGGGGAAGGUAAAGAGGUUGGAUCAGCUGAAGAAGGAAUUUUAAGUCCAACCCUACAUCCUUCUAACAUGAAAACGAUAUCUGCCAUUGAUGGUCUAUCAAAUGGAUCUGUUGCAGUGCAAAGGAGUCCAACUUUGACACCUAACAAGAAUUCUUCCCACUCUGAUGAUUCAGGGUCUAACUCAACCAACCCUGGUUCCAACAACUCCGAAAUUUGCCCCUUUUGUAGUUGCUUCUUCACCCAUUUCACUAUGUCUUCAUCUUGUGUGAACAUUACCGGUUUUCUUCCUGUCAGGAUUUCUAAAACUACGAUGCCGAAACUGUACACGUCGGCUUCUUUGGAUGGUUGUCCUGUUAAUGAAGCUUCAGGUGCCAUGUAGCCUAGUGAACCAACUGGGGUUGAUGAUGAUGAAGCCUCUGCCAGGGUGGCUAUUGUCAGCUUCUCGAGUCCGAAUUCGGACAAAUGAGCUUCAAAAUCGGCAUCGAAGAGUACGUUUUGGGGUUUGAUAUCACCAUGAACUAUUGAUAAGGAGUGCAAAAUCGCUAGGCCGCGACCAAUACCAAGUGCGAUGAGAUGACGCAUUGGCCAAUUCAACAUAUGUCCAUCUUGGCGAUUUGCCUCUUGGAGGAGGGUGCCUAGGUUUCCAUUAGGCAUGUAGUCAUAAACAAGGAGCCUUAAGUCUGGUGGUCCGGCAUAAUAGCCUCGUAGAACCGUUAUGUUUCGAUGCUUUACCUUGCCAAGCAAUUCGGCUUCUUUUCGAAAUGUACAUUCAUCGAUGGAUCCAUCAACAAGGCGACGGAUUGAUAGGACUGUUCCGUCUUGAUAGGUCGCCUUGAACACAAGUCCAUAUCUUCCUCUGCUCAUGACAUUUUCCUCAUCGAAUUGCCUUGUUGCUUCUAAUGUCUCUGCCAGCGUUAUCUUGUUAUUAAACAUAACUAAUUUCGGACCUCCAUUUUCGCCGCCCCCACGAUCCCUAUCUGCUACCGAACUCGCACUGGCUGGACUUCUUUUCUUCUCCCCAUUUCCCCAUUCUCUGAGCCUCUUGCGCCAGCGUAAAAGGCCGUAAAUAUAUCCACAACAGAACACUGCAACAAAGAAAGCUCCACCAGCAGCUAUAACAAUUAAUAGAAUCAGCUUCCUACGUUUUCUGUUUCUCACAUUUGCACAUUCUUUCUUCAAUGGCUUACCACAUAGUUCUCUGUUCAUCGAAAACACGGAAGGAUCAUCGAAACGAGAACCGAGUGCACUCGGGAUCUCACCUUCAAGAUAGUUUCUUGACAAAUUCAGGUGCUUCAAGCUAAUCAUGUUUGAAAGGCUUGAUGGGAUGGAUCCGCUCAAGUUAUUUGAUGAAAGAUUCAAAGCUGUUAGAUUGGAUAGUUUUGACAAUAAUUCUGGUAUGUUUCCUGAUAGGUGAUUUCCAUCCAGGAAAAGAGUAGUAAUAGAUGAAAAUCUGGAGAUUUCAUCUGGGAUUUCACCAUCUAAAUGAUUCAAACCCAAAUCAAGCUCUUUCAAAUGAGAUAAUCGAGAGAGAUCACCUGGGAUAUUGCCACUCAAACGAUUCGAACGAAGCUGAAGUACUUCAAGAUCAGAACAAUUAUCAAGCUCCAAGGGAACCAUACCUGAAACUCGAUUAAAGCUGACCGAAAGCACAACCAAUGACUGCAAUAAACCAUAGCUACUCGGAAUCUGACCAGUGAAUCCAUUAGAACUGAGAUUCAAGUACUGCAAAUCAACCAAGUUGGUGAAACCUUCAGGAACAUCACCAGACAACCUGUUUUCUUGAAAAGCAACAACCUGCAAACUUGGUAACCCGAAAAGCUCAAUUGGCAGCUCUCCAGAAAUCUGCUGCUUGCUAAAAUCAAGAGAAGUUAAUUUCAUCAUGUUCCCAAUACUCCCUGGAAUCGCACCGGCAAAUCCACAGGAACUUAAAUUUAAAACCACCAAACUCAAUAAAUCCCCCAAACCAACAGGAAUUUCUCCAGAAAAUUUGUUAUUGCUGAGGUUUAAAGUAGUUAAAUUACUCAACCGCAUUAUAUCUUCGGGGACCUUUCCGGUGAAAUUAUUUCCGCUCAAAUUCAACGUUUCAAGCCCCGAAAUGUUCCCAAACCCGUACGGGAUUGACCCAGAAAAUAGAUUUCUCCCCAACGAUAGACUUUUCAAGCUCUUCAUUUGACUGAAAAAAAUCGGCAUUUGCCCGGAAAAUCGGUUUCCUUCAAAAUCGACGACCUUUAACGAGCCACACUGUAGGAGCUGAGUGGGAACCGAACCGGUCAACGAGUUGUUCGCCACUCUAAGAUCUUCUAACUUAAAAAGGUUGCCUAUUUCAACUGGUAAUAAACCAGUGAAGAAGUUUCUAGAAAUAUCCAAUAUUCUCAACGUGGUCAAAGUGGUCAACCAAGAGGGAAAAACACCGUGGAUUUUAUUCUCGUGAAGGUCCAAAACCUCCAAAACUGCAACGCAACUUUGGUUAUUUUGCGGCUUAACGAAUUCCGUGAACUCAUUAAAUGCAAACUGCAGGAUCCUCAACGACGGCGUAAAAUUCCCCGACGAUUUACAGAAAAUGCUUUCGGGAACAGCACCGGAAAGUCUGUUAUGCGAUAAUGCUAGCACUUGAAGAUUCGGAACCGCACCGAUACUUCCCGGAACAAGUCCUUUAAGCUUAUUAUCUUGUGCGCUUAAAUGUACCAGCGAAGAGCAGUUCGCUAUAGCCGACGGUAAUGUACCAUACAACUGGUUCGAGUCAAGCCAAAGGUACUGUAGUUCUUGGAGCUUGCCUAUACUCGCCGGAAUGCCACCGGAAAACCGGUUGUAUGAGAAGUUGAUAAGUUGGAGCUGAGACUGUGCCAAGAAAUUUGACGGUAGUUCUCCGGAGAAAUCGUUUGAGGAUAAAUCGAGGUACCGGAGGGACCAAUGGAAAUCGGAGGCGAUUUUUCCGGUUAGAUAAUUAUGAGCUACAUUGAGGACUUGUAAAUUGGUGAGGUUAAAAAUGGAAGGCGGGAGGUUGCCGGAGAGUGAGUUGUAGUGCAAGUAAACAGCGCGUAAGAGAGCGCAUUGGGCAAGAGCGUUAGGGAUGUCGCCGUUGAAGUUGUUAGAAUGGAGGUUUAAUUUGCGGAGCUCACGUAAGUUGGAUAAUUGAUCACUGAGUUGGCCACCGAGUUGGAGGCGAGGCAAAUUGAGCUCGCGGACUCGGUUGUUGUAACAAACAAUGCCACGCCAGUCGCAGGGAGCUGAUGGCGUGAGCGCAUCCCAGCCGUCGAGAGCACCAAGUGGGUCUUGGAAAACACUGCGUUUAAAGGACGUAAGCGCACGGAUCUCCGCUAGAGUAACGGCACUGUGUUGUUGAGCGUAAGAAGAUGGUACGACGACGUUGGAGAUGAAGAAGGUGAGGGAGAGAAGAAUAAUAGUAGCCGUUAUUUCCAUAGAGAAGAAAUGGAAAGUACAAAAAAACUGAAAGAGUUUUUAUCGUAUACAUAUUGGCUGUUGAGUUGUAGAUUGUAUCUUAUAUCUGGCUACUGGUUAAUGGGAAUUUCUGAUUUAACAGAUUGUAUCAUUUAUUUUUAGUGUAUUUAAUUUUUAUUCAACAAAAAUGGGCAGUUGCAGUUUUUAGAAGGAAAACUGGAAAACUGUUUGGAGUUGGUUCAAUAUCAUGAUGGGAUUCACGAGACACGUAAGGCCACUGUACUCUGUUGUUAUUUCCAUUAUUUUCCUUUGGCAGAAAUUAAAAAGUUGAGGCUGAUACGGUGGGACCCGCAAACUCGAAACCAUACAACUUUUCGUGUCAUAUCUAUUAUUUUGCAUGCAGUAGUAAUUUAUUUCAUUCACAAAGAGAAAGUGACAUUAAGAAGAGUGGGUCUUUUUUAAUUAAAUUAUAAUUUUUAUGAUAUUAAAAAAUAUAAUUUUAUUAUUUUAAUAGAUUAUAUCUUUAUUAUUUUUAAAAAAUAAUUUAAAAUUUUAUAGUUUAGGGUUUCAAUAACAUACUUCUAUCAUUCUCUUCAUUAUCUUCACGUGUCUUUUACAGGUUAUAUGUUUUACUUUUUGGUGGGAACGACCUUCUUCAUUCCGUACAAGGUAAAGCUCCUUAAACCGUGUGGUCGAGUCAAAGCUAAUACUACAUUUUAUGUUUAUAUAUUUAAACAUAACUCGCAUACAGCAAAAUGGAAUAGUUUGGCUAAAAGAAAGAACUUUUAACAUAUAAUGCAAUAAAAAAUAGAACAAUAUAAUGAUCACAAAUGACAUCGUUGGAGUUUGGGUGCGAAAUAAUUUUUUUUUUUUAAAAAAAAGGAAAGAAGGAAGGAAAAUCUCAAAUGGGGGAAGGUAAAGAGGUUGGAUCUCUCUUGUUGCUCUUGGUACAUUUCUGUAGAUCCACAAUAAAGAAGCAGGUAUCGUUAACAACCAUGAAUUUAUCUAUGCAUCAAUUAUAUGAGAAAAAAAUAAAAUAAAAUAAAAAGAGAAUAAUGCCCUUGUAAUGUUCUCAAAGCUUCACUCUGGUGUAAAAUGCCAGUGAAUAGGCAUACAUUCAUAAGUGCAUGGCAUCUAAUCAAAACUAGGGGAACACAGUUUUCAAAAUUUGGUGCUGACUAAUUUAAGAGCCAUAGAAUAUGAACGACUAGCUUGUAUCUAGCAACAAGAGAUGAGUUCAGGUUUUUAGAAGACACUACUAAGUUUCAUUUCUUUUUUCUACAUUUUUUUUCUGUGAAUAGUGCAUCUGAAUGGAAAGUGCCAACAACAUUAAUAUACGGGACCGAAGAUUGGGUGAACUAUCAAGGAGCCCAAGACACUACUAAGGUUUGUUCACUUCUGCCAUACAUAAGAAGUCAACAGACAUUGUGCAUUUUUCCAUGUAAAGCUUUUAUAUUAAUGGAACCUUAAAUGGAGUAAGUUAGAACCCAAAUGGCUAUAUCUUCCUGUCAGACUCCUUAUCUUGGCUGCAUUUCUGUCAUAUACAGGGUGGACAUUUCGUGUUCCUUGAAAACACAGAGGGAUUCCAUUCGGCCGUGUCAUAUGUGCAUGUAGGAGAUUUCUCUCACCUAACCCUGAUACUCAACCCUUGCCUUAAGGCUUGGAAUCAGCUUAGAAUAAAGUAUUGUAAUUUCUUCACCCACACUUUUUUGUAUAAUACAUAAUCACGAGAUUCCUUUGUUCUGUAACAUUCUUUUUGGUCAAUAAAACAUUCUUUUCUUCCAACUUUUUAUCUUAUACAUAUUGGCUGUUGAGUUGUAGAUUGUAUCUUAUAUCUGGC
rnacentral:lncRNA from 1 species